GAAGAGGGCUGGGUGGGAACUAUACACACAGCCACUGACUGGAGGGGAGAAUGCUUUUGUUGUGUUAGUCAGUCUGCUCCAGGAGGACCCUGAGGAAGCAGCAGGCUGAGCUGCUGGGGAUUUGGGAAGGCCGCACAUACUUUGAGGAGUUCUGGUUUGAAUACCCCUGCACCUAAAGCCACACCUACCAAAAGAGUUACAUUGUAGCAGAGGGAGAAAAGGCUGCAAGAAGAGGUAACUUUUGAAAGGGAGAAUAAUAUGCUUGGCUGGAAUAACUUUAAUUGGAUGCUGUAUCCACAUGCUUCCUGCUGGUCUGGAAUGGUUCCUACAUAAAUCUACUCACAGCAAUGAUCAUAAGAAGAAGCUAACAUUCCCUUAAUGAUCCAGAAUACUUCCAAUAGAAGACUUCCAUGGAAGCGGGGAGAGGGCUAGACAAAUUUGCAUAGACAGACAAACUACUGGUCUGUCCGAAACCAACUUACUUUCCAUAGCAGGUGAGGAUAAGAGGACCACUGUCAACGUUCUUCUGUCAACGGCAAUAAGCAGCAGAGCAAUGGACAAAGAGGUCACCAUUUGAAGAGGGAAAGCAGUCUGUGCCUUUGGGACACAUAGUUGAAAUAUGGAUUGAUGUCUUGCCCUGUGACAAAAGUGCUCUUCCGUAAAGGAGUCUACCCACCUUACAAUCACUGCUCCUUAUAAGGAGCUGCGAAACAGAAUUGUGAAAUAAGGCUAUGGUAUCUGCGUACAGCAUGGAAUGGAGAAAUAAUCUGUAAUUGAAAGAGACCUCAUUUACAUUUUCAAUCCCAAAAUCUUGUUGAAUAAGAGACUGCCUUUUGUUAAAGAGAAAAUGACCAUGGUACAGGUUUCUGUAGCACUCUUUAGAAAAUGU